CCAGCGGUGAUGAGCCUCUAACAUGUAAGAAGAAAUCCGUAGUUGGGUUCCUUCGAUGAAAUUUACUUGUUACGCUUGGCUUCUGAGCUUU
rfam:Vigna angularis cultivar Jingnong 6 chromosome 5, whole genome shotgun sequence.